GGAGCCCUUUAGGUCUGCGCAUCUGUCAGGUUCACACCGCACUCUUCCCGUAAAAGUCUCUCUCUGCUCCAUCUCUUUCUUUGAUAACUCCCAUCACUUAAAAGCAUUCUCCUUGAUAGAAAGAAACAUUACAAUUAACUACAUCAAUCCCCUAAAAAACAUCACAUUCUUAGAUUUUUUUUUUGAUUUUAAGUGAAAAAAUCAGGAAUUUUGAUUAUGCAUCUCCAAUGACGAAAUCAGGUUUUAAUGUCAAGAUUUGAAGGAAAAAAAUAGUGAUUUUGAAGAUGAGAACUUUGUGGAAAUGAAGUAAUUUCAUUAGAAAGUUGUUCGUUUUGAAGAGAAGAAGAAGAUGGAUUUUGGCAGAGCACAUCAAGAGAAGGUGGAAGGAGGAGGAGAAAGCCAAUGAAUCUCCUUUGUUCAUCCCACUCUUCUUACCUUGCUUCAUCUUCUACUUUUUACAACGCUAGUGACGACAACAAUAAUGAUAAACAGGUAUGUAAUGGAAGUGUUACACAAACAAGAAUCGAAAUAAAAGAUAAACGUGAUUGUGGUGUUGAAGAAGAUAAGGGUUGCGGCUGCUAAACAAAAGAUAAUAAAUAGGAAGGAGAAGAAGAAAAAUGGGACAUCUUGUGCGUCUGAUGAUCGGUGAAUGAGAGAGGGUUCAUCAAGGGUCAUGAAGAUUGCAAGUCGACCAUACAAAAGUUAAGAACGAUGAAGAAAUAUUUAGUUAACAGUUAAGAAAAUAUUUGAUUGUAUUAGGUACGAAGGAUCAUGGUUGGGUGCAGGCUAGCGAUGAAGUUCUUAUGGGCGUAUGCACCACAGAGGAUAACUGAGAUAAAUCCUAUGAGUGUAGACGGAGGCACAUGGUCAUCUAAAAACUCAAGGAUGCUUUCUAUGAGUGAAUUCAUGGUAAUGCAAUCUUGUUGUUAACGGUAAUAAAUAUAUGUGACGACUAAGUAUAAAUGUAACUGUUAAUUGUUUUUAAAAUAUCUGAAGUUAACUGUUUUUUAUAUGUGAAAUUAUAUACAAACCAUGUAUCAUUUAAAUACAAAU